rnacentral:rRNA from 1 species
GUACGCCGGCAACGGUGAAACUCAAAGGAAUGAUCGGGGGCCCGCACAAGCGGAGGAACAUGUGGUUUAAUUCGAUGAUACGCGAGGAACCUUACCCGGGCUCAAACGGGGAGUGGCGCAGGCAGAGACGCCUGUUUCCCACGGGACACUCCCCGAGGUGCUGCAUGGUUGUCGUCAGCUCGUGCCGUGAGGUGUCGGCUUAAGUGCCAUAACGAGCGCAACCCCCGCGUGCAGUUGCUAACAGUCAACGCUGAGGACUCUGCACGGACUGCCGGCGCAAGCCGCGAGGAAGGCGGGGAUGACGUCAAAUCAGCACGGCCCUUACGUCCGGGGCGACACACGUGUUACAAUGGGUGGUACAGCGGGAAGCCAGGCGGCGACGCCGAGCGGAACCCGAAAUCCACUCUCAGUUCGGAUCGGAGUCUGCAACCCGACUCCGUGAAGCUGGAUUCGCUAGUAAUCGCGCAUCAGCCAUGGCGCGGUGAAUACGUUCCCGGGCCUUGUACACACCGCCCGUCAAGCCAUGGGAGCCGAGGGCGCUUGAAGUGCGUCGCCGUGAGGCGCGCCCUAGAGCGAAAUCGGUGACUGGGGCUAAGUCGUAACAAGGUAACCGU